rnacentral:rRNA from 1 species
UGAGGAAUCUGUCCAUCGGCGGGGGAUAGCCGGCCCAACGGCCGGGUAAUACCGCGUACGACCACAUGGGGACAUCCCUGAGUGGUGAAAGCAGCAAUGCGCCGAUGGAGUGCCUCGCGGCCUAUCAGCUAGUUGGUGGGGUAACGCUCACCAAGGCGACGACGGGUAGCUGGUCUGAGAGGAUGGCCAGCCACAUUGGGACUGAGACACGGCCCAGACCUCUACGGGAGG